rnacentral:rRNA from 1 species
GGAAGUAAAAAGUCGUAACAAGGUUUCCGUAGGUGAACCUGCGGAAGGAUCAUUAUUGGAAUUGAAACCCUUUGCAGGAGGCUGUUGCUGUCCGCCCGGGGGGUGGGUACGUGCACGUCUCUUGUGUGUUUCU